UACGUAGGGGGCAAGCGUUAUCCGGAUUUACUGGGUGUAAAGGGAGCGUAGACGGUUAUGCAAGUCAGAAGUGAAAGCCCAAAGCUCAACUUCGGGACUGCUUUUGAAACUGUGUAACUAGAGUGCAGGAGGGGUAAGCGGAAUUCCUAGUGUAGCGGUGAAAUGCGUAGAUAUUAGGAGGAACACCAGUGGCGAAGGCGGCUUACUGGACGGCAACUGACGCUGAGGCUCGAAAGCGUGGGGAGCAAACAGG
rnacentral:rRNA from 1 species